rnacentral:tRNA from 1 species
GCCCUCGUAGCUCAAUGGACAGAGUGACUGACUUCGAAUCAGCGGGUUGGGGGUUCGAAUCCCUCCGGGGGCACAA